rnacentral:rRNA from 1 species
UACAGAGGUCUCAAGCGUUGUUCGGAUUCAUUGGGCGUAAAGGGUGCGUAGGUGGCGUCGUAAGUCAGGUGUGAAAUCUCGGGGCUUAACUCCGAAACUGCAUUUGAUACUGCGGUGCUUGAGGACUGGAGAGGAGACUGGAAUUUACGGUGUAGCAGUGAAAUGCGUAGAGAUCGUAAGGAAGACCAGUGGCGAAGGCGGGUCUCGUGGACAGUUCCUGACACUGAGGCACGGAAGGCCCAGGGGAGCAAACGGG